AUACGGAGGAUGCAAGCGUUAUCCGGAUUUAUUGGGUUUAAAGGGUGCGUAGGCGGAUGAUUAAGCGUGAGGUGAAAUGCCACUGCUCAACAGUGGAACUGCCUCGCGAACUGGUUGUCUUGAAUGCUCCUGCCGUGGGAGGAAUGUGUGGUGUAGCGGUGAAAUGCAUAGAGAUCACACAGAACACCGAUUGCGAAGGCAUCUCACGAAGGGGUGAUUGACGCUGAGGCACGAAAGCGUGGGGAUCAAACAGGAUUAGAUACCCUGGUAGUCCACACAGUAAACGAUGAAUACUCGCUGUUUGCGAUAUACAGUAAGCGGCCAAGCGAAAGCAUUAAGUAUUCCACCUGGGGAGUACGCCGGCAACGGUGAAACUCAAAGGAAUUGACGGGG
rnacentral:rRNA from 1 species